rnacentral:misc_RNA from 1 species
GGACAGUCUCACAGGACUGUCAGGCGAUGGGCAGAAGGCUCAGGAUUAUGUUUGUGGGUUACCUGCAAGAAUUAGAAACUUAGAAGAAAGAGGUCAGGUGUGGGCAAAAGAACGUCCCACCAUUCCAUUCACUUGGAUUUUCAAUCGAGAGGUUAAGCUGUAGAAACUGGAAAUGUUAAAGAGGAGUUGAUAGGAAAGGGGAAAAC